rnacentral:rRNA from 1 species
GUCCACGCCCUAAACGAUGUCUACUGGUUGUUGGAGGGUAAAACCUUCAGUAACGAAGCUAACGCGUGAAGUAGACCGCCUGGGGAGUACGGUCGCAAGAUUAAAACUCAAAGGAAUUGACGGGGACCCGCACAAGCGGUGGAUGAUGUGGAUUAAUUCGAUGCAACGCGAAAAACCUUACCUAGCCUUGACAUGUCAGGAACGCUCCGGAGAUGGAGCGGUGCCCGCAAGGGAACCUGAGCACAGGUGCUGCAUGGCUGUCGU